GCCAUCUUUGUUAAGGGAGAGUGGGCCUGACUCAUCCAUUGAAUUCACAAAAGAAAAGGGGCGUGAGGGAGGAGGUCUUUAGCUGCAAAGACAGAGACUCUAACACGCGUAACAAAGGCCCAGAGAUCCAGACACAGAGCAAGGCAGAUACCCAGAGAGGCUGGAUGGGGCAAUAAGAGAGCUGGGAGGAGAGGAAGAGUGGGAAAAAUGAAGGAUACUUUUUUUUCGGACAGUUACAGAGUCAGAGAGACCCAGAGAAAAGCAGAGAUUUAAACAAGAGACCAAAACAAUGGGAUUGAGAAUGUGCAAGGCUGGAGUGCAGCGCGAUCUCGGCUCACUGCAACCUCUGCCUCCCGGGUUCAAACGAUUCUCCUUCCUCAGUCUCCCGAGUAGCUGGGAUUAUAGUAUGAGGAUCUUGGCUUUUAGAUGGUCCCUUACCUGGUCCUGCUGCUCCUCUGCUUCAAGGUGUCCAUUCAUCUGCUGGUCCU
rnacentral:antisense_RNA from 1 species